rnacentral:rRNA from 1 species
AGGGAAAGAGGGAGGCAGGCCUAACACAUGCGAGUCGAGCGGAUGAAGGGAGCUUGCUCCUGGAUUCAGCGGCGGACGGGUGAGUAAUGCCUAGGAAUCUGCCUGGUAGUGGGGGAUAACGUCCGGAAACGGGCGCUAAUACCGCAUACGUCCUGAGGGAGAAAGUGGGGGAUCUUCGGACCUCACGCUAUCAGAUGAGCCUAGGUCGGAUUAGCUAGUUGGUGGGGUAAAGGCCUACCAAGGCGACGAUCCGUAACUGGUCUGAGAGGAUGAUCAGUCACACUGGAACUGAGACACGGUCCAGACUCCUACGGGAGGCAGCAGUGGGGAAUAUUGGACAAUGGGCGAAAGCCUGAUCCAGCCAUGCCGCGUGUGUGAAGAAGGUCUUCGGAUUGUAAAGCACUUUAAGUUGGGAGGAAGGGCAGUAAGUUAAUACCUUGCUGUUUUGACGUUACCAACAGAAUAAGCACCGGCUAACUUCGUG